GGGUUGUGAGGUUAAGCGACUAAGCGUACACGGUGGAUGCCCUGGCAGUCAGAGGCGAUGAAGGACGUGCUAAUCUGCGAUAAGCGUCGGUAAGGUGAUAUGAACCGUUAUAACCGGCGAUUUCCGAAUGGGGAAACCCAGUGUGAUUCGUCACACUAUCAUUAACUGAAUCCAUAGGUUAAUGAGGCGAACCGGGGGAACUGAAACAUCUAAGUACCCCGAGGAAAAGAAAUCAACCGAGAUUCCCCCAGUAGCGGCGAGCGAACGGGGAGCAGCCCAGAGCCUGAAUCAGUGUGUGUGUUAGUGGAAGCGUCUGGAAAGGCGUGCGAUACAGGGUGACAGCCCCGUACACAAAAAUGCACAUGCUGUGAGCUCGAUGAGUAGGGCGGGACACGUGGUAUCCUGUCUGAAUAUGGGGGGACCAUCCUCCAAGGCUAAAUACUCCUGACUGACCGAUAGUGAACCAGUACCGUGAGGGAAAGGCGAAAAGAACCCCGGCGAGGGGAGUGAAAAAGAACCUGAAACCGUGUACGUACAAGCAGUGGGAGCACGCUUAGGCGUGUGACUGCGUACCUUUUGUAUAAUGGGUCAGCGACUUAUAUUCUGUAGCAAGGUUAACCGAAUAGGGGAGCCGAAGGGAAACCGAGUCUUAACUGGGCGUUAAGUUGCAGGGUAUAGACCCGAAACCCGGUGAUCUAGCCAUGGGCAGGUUGAAGGUUGGGUAACACUAACUGGAGGACCGAACCGACUAAUGUUGAAAAAUUAGCGGAUGACUUGUGGCUGGGGGUGAAAGGCCAAUCAAACCGGGAGAUAGCUGGUUCUCCCCGAAAGCUAUUUAGGUAGCGCCUCGUGAAUUCAUCUCCGGGGGUAGAGCACUGUUUCGGCAAGGGGGUCAUCCCGACUUACCAACCCGAUGCAAACUGCGAAUACCGGAGAAUGUUAUCACGGGAGACACACGGCGGGUGCUAACGUCCGUCGUGAAGAGGGAAACAACCCAGACCGCCAGCUAAGGUCCCAAAGUCAUGGUUAAGUGGGAAACGAUGUGGGAAGGCCCAGACAGCCAGGAUGUUGGCUUAGAAGCAGCCAUCAUUUAAAGAAAGCGUAAUAGCUCACUGGUCGAGUCGGCCUGCGCGGAAGAUGUAACGGGGCUAAACCAUGCACCGAAGCUGCGGCAGCGACGCUUAUGCGUUGUUGGGUAGGGGAGCGUUCUGUAAGCCUGCGAAGGUGUGCUGUGAGGCAUGCUGGAGGUAUCAGAAGUGCGAAUGCUGACAUAAGUAACGAUAAAGCGGGUGAAAAGCCCGCUCGCCGGAAGACCAAGGGUUCCUGUCCAACGUUAAUCGGGGCAGGGUGAGUCGACCCCUAAGGCGAGGCCGAAAGGCGUAGUCGAUGGGAAACAGGUUAAUAUUCCUGUACUUGGUGUUACUGCGAAGGGGGGACGGAGAAGGCUAUGUUGGCCGGGCGACGGUUGUCCCGGUUUAAGCGUGUAGGCUGGUUUUCCAGGCAAAUCCGGAAAAUCAAGGCUGAGGCGUGAUGACGAGGCACUACGGUGCUGAAGCAACAAAUGCCCUGCUUCCAGGAAAAGCCUCUAAGCAUCAGGUAACAUCAAAUCGUACCCCAAACCGACACAGGUGGUCAGGUAGAGAAUACCAAGGCGCUUGAGAGAACUCGGGUGAAGGAACUAGGCAAAAUGGUGCCGUAACUUCGGGAGAAGGCACGCUGAUAUGUAGGUGAAGUCCCUCGCGGAUGGAGCUGAAAUCAGUCGAAGAUACCAGCUGGCUGCAACUGUUUAUUAAAAACACAGCACUGUGCAAACACGAAAGUGGACGUAUACGGUGUGACGCCUGCCCGGUGCCGGAAGGUUAAUUGAUGGGGUCAGCGCAAGCGAAGCUCUUGAUCGAAGCCCCGGUAAACGGCGGCCGUAACUAUAACGGUCCUAAGGUAGCGAAAUUCCUUGUCGGGUAAGUUCCGACCUGCACGAAUGGCGUAAUGAUGGCCAGGCUGUCUCCACCCGAGACUCAGUGAAAUUGAACUCGCUGUGAAGAUGCAGUGUACCCGCGGCAAGACGGAAAGACCCCGUGAACCUUUACUAUAGCUUGACACUGAACAUUGAGCCUUGAUGUGUAGGAUAGGUGGGAGGCUUUGAAGUGUGGACGCCAGUCUGCAUGGAGCCGACCUUGAAAUACCACCCUUUAAUGUUUGAUGUUCUAACGUUGACCCGUAAUCCGGGUUGCGGACAGUGUCUGGUGGGUAGUUUGACUGGGGCGGUCUCCUCCUAAAGAGUAACGGAGGAGCACGAAGGUUGGCUAAUCCUGGUCGGACAUCAGGAGGUUAGUGCAAUGGCAUAAGCCAGCUUGACUGCGAGCGUGACGGCGCGAGCAGGUGCGAAAGCAGGUCAUAGUGAUCCGGUGGUUCUGAAUGGAAGGGCCAUCGCUCAACGGAUAAAAGGUACUCCGGGGAUAACAGGCUGAUACCGCCCAAGAGUUCAUAUCGACGGCGGUGUUUGGCACCUCGAUGUCGGCUCAUCACAUCCUGGGGCUGAAGUAGGUCCCAAGGGUAUGGCUGUUCGCCAUUUAAAGUGGUACGCGAGCUGGGUUUAGAACGUCGUGAGACAGUUCGGUCCCUAUCUGCCGUGGGCGCUGGAGAACUGAGGGGGGCUGCUCCUAGUACGAGAGGACCGGAGUGGACGCAUCACUGGUGUUCGGGUUGUCAUGCCAAUGGCACUGCCCGGUAGCUAAAUGCGGAAGAGAUAAGUGCUGAAAGCAUCUAAGCACGAAACUUGCCCCGAGAUGAGUUCUCCCUGACUCCUUGAGAGUCCUGAAGGAACGUUGAAGACGACGACGUUGAUAGGCCGGGUGUGUAAGCGCAGCGAUGCGUUGAGCUAACCGGUACUAAUGAACCGUGAGGCUUAACCUUACAACGCCGAAG
rnacentral:rRNA from 1 species